GCCAGAGACAAGCUUGCACUAGGGGCUCACCCACAGGGUACUAGUUACCCAAGUACAGCCUCGGGAAGGUCUGAGUCAGGGUCUGUUAACACUCUAGCAGGGUGGCCUGUUAAAAGGGUGUGAGAGAAUAGAAAUAGCGGAAGUAGAGUGGCAGUUGUCUGGGAUGCCAUUGUGGCUGAGGCUGAGCUGCUCAACUUUCUUGGAAGCUCUCAUGACCUGCAUUUUGAGUGCAAUGUGCAAGAAGGACCAUGUGUCCCUAACUCAAUUCAGACUACUCUGUUGCUGGC
rnacentral:RNase_P_RNA from 1 species